rnacentral:rRNA from 1 species
UACAGAGGUCUCAAGCGUUGUUCGGAUUCAUUGGGCGUAAAGGGUGCGUAGGCGGCGCGGUAAGUCGGGGUGUGAAAUCUCGGAGCUUAACUCCGAAACUGCAUUCGAUACUGCCGUGCUUGAGGACUGGAGAGGAGACUGGAAUUUACGGUGUAGCGGUGAAAUGCGUAGAUAUCGUAAGGAAGACCAGUGGCGAAGGCGGGGUCUCUGGACAGUUCCUGACGCUGAGGCACGAAGGCCAGGGGAGCAAACGGG